rnacentral:rRNA from 1 species
AUAACGGCGUCGAGCGGCGGACGGGUGAGUAAUGCCUAGGAAAUUUGCCCUGAUGUGGGGGAUAACCAUUGGAAACGAUGGCUAAUACCGCAUGAUGCCUACGGGCCAAAGAGGGGGACCUUCGGGCCUCUCGCGUCAGGAUAUGCCUAGGUGGGAUUAGCUAGUUGGUGAGGUAAGGGCUCACCAAGGCGACGAUCCCUAGCUGGUCUGAGAGGAUGAUCAGCCACACUGGAACUGAGACACGGUCCAGACUCCUACGGGAGGCAGCAGUGGGGAAUAUUGCACAAUGGGCGCAAGCCUGAUGCAGCCAUGCCGCGUGUAUGAAGAAGGCCUUCGGGUUGUAAAGUACUUUCAGUCGUGCAGGGGUCGCCGUUCGUUAAUAGCGGCGUUGUUUGACGUUAGCGACAGAAGAAGCACCGGCUAACUCCGUGCCAGCAGCCGCGGUAAUACGGAGGGUGCGAGCGUUAAUCGGAAUUACUGGGCGUAAAGCGCAUGCAGGUGGUUUGUUAAGUCAGAUGUGAAAGCCCGGGGCUCAACCUCGGAAUAGCAUUUGAAACUGGCAGACUAGAGUACUGUAGAGGGGGGUAGAAUUUCAGGUGUAGCGGUGAAAUGCGUAGAGAUCUGAAGGAAUACCGGUGGCCAAGGCGGCCCCCUGGACAGAUACUGACACUCAGAUGCGAAAGCGUGGGGGAGCACACAGGAUUAAAUACCCUGGUAGUCCACCCCGUAAACGAUGUCUACUUUGGAAGGUUGUGGCCCUUCACCCCUUGGCUUUUCGGAGCUAACCCCCUUUAAUUAAAACCGCCCUGCCGGAAGUACGGUUCGCCAGGAUUUAAAACUCCAAUUGAAUUUUAACCGGGGGCCCCCCCCCAACCCGUUGGAAC